rnacentral:rRNA from 1 species
UGGGGAAUAUUGCGCAAUGGGGGGAACCCUGACGCAGCCAUGCCGCGUGAAUGAAGAAGGCCUUAGGGUUGUAAAGUUCUUUCGGUAUUGAGGAAGGUUGAUGUGUUAAUAGCACAUCAAAUUGACGUUAAAUACAGAAGAAGCACCGGCUAACUCCGUGCCAGCAGCCGCGGUAAUACGGAGGGUGCGAGCGUUAAUCGGAAUAACUGGGCGUAAAGGGCACGCAGGCGGUUAUUUAAGUGAGGUGUGAAAGCCCCGGGCUUAACCUGGGAAUUGCAUUUCAGACUGGGUAACUAGAGUACUUUAGGGAGGGGUAGAAUUCCACGUGUAGCGGUGAAAUGCGUAGAGAUGUGGAGGAAUACCGAAGGCGAAGGCAGCCCCUUGGGAAUGUACUGACGCUCAUGUGCGAAAGCGUGGGGAGCAAACAGGAUUAGAUACCCUGGUAGUCCACGCUGUAAACGCUGUCGAUUUGGGGGUUGGGGUUUAACUCUGGCGCCCGUAGCUAACGUGAUAAAUCGACCGCCUGGGGAGUACGGACGCAAGGUUA